rnacentral:lncRNA from 1 species
GCCAGAGGAAGUGAGUUGGGGUUAGUUCUCCCUUCUACCAUGUGGAUCUCCAGGAUGGAACACAGGUCAUCAAGCUUGCCAUUGGUGCCUUUGUCUAUGGAGCCAUCUCACCAGCCUGCCUGGCAUGUGGUUCCUCCCUGAAUAGGAAUCAAAGUGUCUUUCUGUCCCUGAACGUGGAACACACAGAAUGAGGCUCUAGGUGUGCACGUCUGACAUCAGCAGAAUAGAAAUACCAUUCC